rnacentral:sRNA from 1 species
ACAAGACUUACUAUGGCCUAGAUGUGGUUUUGUUUUCCCAAUUUCAUCUGGAUAUUGGUGCAGAUGUGCACAUGUGAAUUAUUCAUUUCGAAUAAGAAUAAGUUUCUUAUAAAGACGUGUAUGUGUGUUUGAAUGAAAUCAUUUAGCAUCUAUUUGAAAUCCUUUGAUGUGUGAAGAUUGUCUCAUUUAAUUUGUACCCUUCUUUGCUUACUAAUAAGAGACGACUUGUGUAUUUUCUUGUCAUUUUAUACAAUGUACCACCAAACCUUCUGUCUCCAAUUGUUUCUUCUCCCCAUGCUUUGUGAAAACAUCAUUAUUCCAAGUCUGACCUACAUUCCCAUCACCAUUGGUUACCAUAAUGGCUUGGUAUGUUACCAUUGGUUGCCAAGGAUAUCAAGGGUUACAAGUGGUGUGACCCAUAUUGAGAAGUUAAUAGAUAAAACAUUGGAGAUGUAUCAAUUAGUUCGUUUUUUACUCAUCAUGAUGUGUGUUAACAUGACUUUUUAGAAUUUAAUGAAUUCAUGUUAGUGGUAAGAAGUUUAUAUCCAUAUAUGUUUUGUUAAAUAUAUGAGAUCUGUUACUUUUAAGAACCUAUUUUUCUGUGAUACUAACAUACAUUUUUUUUAAUUCUUGUAAACAGUUGUAAAAAAAUUGUUUGAAACUGGAAGUGAAUAAUCUAAAUCAACUUAUUAUUUAUAAAAGUUUAAUGUAUGAAGGUAUUUAUUUAUUUAUUUGAUAGUUGUAUAUAAAAAUCUAUUAUUUCUGCAUGUCAUUUACAAAACCUCAUGAUUAAUUUUACAUUAGUGUGAUGAACCCGUUCAAUACAAUCCUCAGAAAUGUAGCUCUGGUUUUGCAUUAGAUAUUUCCUUUAUGGAAAAGAGCAGUGAAACAGUUUGCUUCCUUGUUGGACCCCAUUCCAGUUAUUUAUUUUCCAUGUUUAGGUAUUGUGUUGUUUUUGCAUUCAAUAGAUAUAUUGUUUCAAAGUUUGGUUGUCAUUUGAAUAAAGGGUUGAAUA